AGAAUCAACGCUGGCGGCGUGCCUAACACAUGCAAGUCGCACGAGAAAGGGACUUCGGUCCUGAGUAAAGUGGCGCACGGGUGAGUAACACGUGAAUAAUCUACCUCCGAGUGGGGAAUAACUGAGAGAAAUCUUAGCUAAUACCGCAUAAUACCCACGGGUCAAAGCAGCAAUGCGCUUGGAGAGGAGUUCGCGGCCGAUUAGCUAGUUGGCGGGGUAAUGGCCCACCAAGGCGAUGAUCGGUAUCCGGCCUGAGAGGGCGCACGGACACACUGGAACUGAAACACGGUCCAGACUCCUACGGGAGGCAGCAGUGGGGAAUUUUGCGCAAUGGGGGAAACCCUGACGCAGCAACGCCGCGUGGAGGAUGAAGUAUCUUGGUACGUAAACUCCUUUCGAUAGGGAAGAUAAUGACGGUACCUAUAGAAGAAGCCCCGGCUAACUUCGUGCCAGCAGCCGC
rnacentral:rRNA from 1 species